UACUCGAGUGGCGAACGGGUGAGUAACACGUGGGUGAUCUGCCCUGCACUUCGGGAUAAGCUUGGGAAACUGGGUCUAAUACCGGAUAGGAGCCAUCUUUAGUGUGGUGGUUGGAAAGUUUUUUCGGUGUAGGAUGAGCUCGCGGCCUACCAGCUUGUUGGUGGGGUAAUGGCCUACCAAGGCGGCGACGGGUAGCCGGCCUGAGAGGGUGGAUGGCCACAUUGGGACUGAGAUACGGCCCAG
rnacentral:rRNA from 1 species